rnacentral:rRNA from 1 species
AUUGAACGCUGGCGGCAUGCUUUACACAUGCAAGUCGAACGGCAGCGCGGGCUUCGGCCUGGCGGCGAGUGGCGAACGGGUGAGUAAUGCAUCGGAACGUGCCCAGUAGUGGGGGAUAGCCCGGCGAAAGCCGGAUUAAUACCGCAUACGACCUGAGGGUGAAAGCGGGGGACCGAAAGGCCUCGCGCUAUUGGAGCGGCCGAUGUCGGAUUAGCUAGUUGGUGGGGUAAAGGCUUACCAAGGCGACGAUCCGUAGCUGGUCUGAGAGGACGACCAGCCACACGGGGACUGAGACACGGCCCAGACUCCUACGGGAGGCAGCAGUGGGGAAUUUUGGACAAUGGGGGCAAACCUGAUCCAGCAAUGCCGCGUGCGGGAAGAAGGCCUUCGGGUUGUAAACCGCUUUUGUUCGGGAAGAAAGCCUCUGGGCUAAUACCCCGGGGGGAUGACGGUACCGGAAGAAUAAGCACCGGCUAACUACGUG